AAUUGGGGANGNAUGCGCGNCUUAACAUGCAGUCGAACGAUGAUCCGCUUUCGGGCGGGGUAUUAGUGGCGAACGGGUGAGUAACACGGUGGGCAAUCUGCCCUGCACUCUGGGACAAGCCCUGGAAACGGGGUCUAAUACCGGAUAUGACUGUCCAUCGCAUGGUGGAUGGUGUAAAGCUCCGGCGGUGCAGGAUGAGCCCGCGGCCUAUCAGCUUGUUGGUGAGGUAGUGGCUCACCAAGGCGACGACGGGUAGCCGGCCUGAGAGGGCGACCGGCCACACUGGGACUGAGACACGGCCCAGACUCCUACGGGAGGCAGCAGUGGGGAAUAUUGCACAAUGGGCGAAAGCCUGAUGCAGCGACGCCGCGUGAGGGAUGACGGCCUUCGGGUUGUAAACCUCUUUCAGCAGGGAAGAAGCGAAAGUGACGGUACCUGCAGAAGAAGCGCCGGCUAACUACGUGCCAGCAGCCGCGGUAAUACGUAGGGCGCAAGCGUUGUCCGGAAUUAUUGGGCGUAAAGAGCUCGUAGGCGGCUUGUCACGUCGGUUGUGAAAGCCCGGGGCUUAACCCCGGGUCUGCAGUCGAUACGGGCAGGCUAGAGUUCGGUAGGGGAGAUCGAGAAUUCCUGGUGU
rnacentral:rRNA from 1 species